rnacentral:rRNA from 1 species
AGCUUUAACUACAUAAAUUUGAUGUAGGUUUCGAUACAACGCUAAAUAGAGACAUAACACAUGCAAGUUAUUAUAUUAAUAUAUUAUAUUAGUAUGAGAGCGAUCAGGUGAGUAAUAAGAGGGUUAUACCCUUAGAGAUGUAGGUAUUAGUUUAUACUAGCCAGAGACCUCUACUCCAAGGUGGAAGCCUAAAGGAGCACAUAGAUAAAUAUCUACUACUAUUAGUAGCAGCAGUGGGGAAUUAUUGACAAUGAUCGUAAGAUUGAUCAUGUUAUCUAUUAAAGAUAUUAGAUCUGGCAAAGUAAUUUUAUCACUAUAAUUGGGGAUAUAAAUUAUCUAAUCUAAGUAGUUAACUCCAAAUCAUAUUGAGAUGUGUGAUUCAUAUUAAUGAAAAGAGUAUAUUCUAUUGAAUGCCUAUAGAAUGAAACGGAAUAAAGAUCUAAAUUAUUAUCUUAAUAUAUUAAUCAAUAAUGAUGAUUAAUAAUAUUUAGUCCUUACUAAGAUGUGUGCCAGCAGUAGCGGUCAUACACACAGGGCAAGCGUUUAUCAUCCUUGGUUUAAAGGAUCCGUAGGCUUAAACUUUAUGAGAAUAAAGACUAUAUAUUUUUUAUAAAUGUAAAAUAUAUAUUGUAAUAGAAUCUUAUUAAAUUUAACAUGUAAAUUAUAUAAAGAGUUAAUAUGCUAUGACAUAUAAUAGACAGCAAAGAAGUUAAAAUGUAAGAUUGACGCUGAGGGAUGAAAGCUGUAAUAGUAACAUGGAUUCGGUACCCAUUUAACUACAGCCGUAAACUAUGUAUAUCACGCAAAUUAAUUAUCUCUUAUAAAGCUUGUUCUAUACAUUAUUAUUUAUAGUCUAAACAUAUUGAUUUAUUAUACAUUUAUUUAUAUUUCUAUAUUCAUAUAUUAAUAUAUAAAUAUAUAAGCUUAUAAAAAUAUUGUUAAUAUUAAAUUAUUAAUAAUAUGCAUUGUAUAUAGUUCUAAAUUGAUAUGUUUAUUAACUAAUGUAUAGAUAUUUAUAUGAUAAAAAAAUUCUAGAUGUAAUAAAAUGUAAAUAUAGAUAGAUACAUGUACAUUAUAUUUGAAAUAUGGAGGUUAAUUGAUUUAACCUUUAAAGUAAUUUAUCUUAAAAUUCUAGAUUUGUAGUGUGAAUUAAUAUAUAGAUUUAUAUUAAUUUAUAAUUGUAAUGUAUAUAUAAUUAUAUAUCAAACACAACCGAUAUAGAAGUUAUAUAAGCGAUCAAAAAGAAUAAGAGUAAUUUGAGCAAAUUAACAUUAAGAAUAUACCACCAGACUAGUACGUUCGCAAGAAUGAAAUGUAAUACAUUAGACGGUUAUAUACCGGUACAGUGGAUCAUGCUGUUUAAUUGGACGAUACUCCUUAAACCUUACCAUUCCUUGAAUAUUAUAUUUAUUUAUUAAAUAUUUUACAGGCGUUACAUUGUUGUCGUCAGUUCAUGCCAUCAUGGUUUAUUAUUAAGUUAUUUAAUGAACGAAAUCCUUGUUUAGAAUUUAAAUUAUUAAAUUUUAUAAAAUUGUAUUAUAGAGAUAUAAUAGUAAGUAAAGGUUGAAGACUAAUCCGCAUGACCCUUAUGGAAUGGGCUACAGGUGUGAUACGAAUUAACUAUUAAUUAUAAAUCUAUUAGAAAGAGAUUUAAGUGAACUAGUUAAAUCAUGGAAUUAUAUCUUUAAAUGAAUUAAUACCUGCAACUCGGUAUUAUUAAAGAGGAACUGUCAGUAAUCAUAUUUUAGUAAAAUAUGGUGAAUUUGUCAUAUAUUUCGCACUAAUCACUCAUCAAUAGCACAGAUGAAUCUUAUAAAGAUUUAUUAUUUAAGAAUAUUAAAUUAUUAUAUUAUGUUAUAUUUAAGAAACUAAUAAUUAGAUAUCAAUCUAUAAGUAUCUGAAUACGUUAUAAAACUAAUUAAAGUAAUAUAUUAAGUUAUACAGAAAUAAGAUAGAUUAUAAUGUAUUUAUGAUUAUAAAGAAUUAAAUAUAAUAUUGAUAGCUUACAAUAUAUUAUAGAUAAAUAAGAUUUAUUAUUUAUUUGGGGGAUAAUAGAAUUAUUUAAAAGUAAUAUAGAACUAAGAUAUAAGUAUAUUGAGUUAUAACUAUAUAUUUAUAUAUAAUGGAAUACUGAUUAUAUUCAUUUUUAUAUAUAGAUAAUAUACUAUAAUAAGAUAAGCGAGAAAUAAUUUAAUAUAUAAUUAGAUAAUUGAAUCUUUAUUUAAAAGAGAAAGAUAUGCUAUAAGUUGAAAUACAGUUCGGGUAAGGGAACUUGCUCGGGGUUUAUUAAAAUAUUAAC